GCCUGGGUGGCUCAGUCAGUUGAGUGUCGGACUUUGGCUCAGCUCAUGAUCUCAUGGUUUGUGGGUUCGAGCCCCACAUCAGGCU
rnacentral:tRNA from 1 species